rnacentral:tRNA from 1 species
GGGGAUUUAGCUCAGUGGCAUAAGUGCCUGCCUUGCAAGCAGGAGGUCGUGAGUUCAAUCCCCG